rnacentral:lncRNA from 10 species
UUUUUGUUUUGAGACGGAGUCUUGCUCUGUUGCCCAGGCUGGAGUACAGUGGCGCUAUCUCGGCUCACUGCAAGCUCCACCUCCCGGGUUCAUGCCAUUCUCCUGCCUCAGCCUCCCGAGUAGCUGGGACUACAGGCAUCUGCUACCAUGCCCGGCUAAUUUUUUUGUAUUUUUAGUAGAGACGGGGUUUCACCACGUUAGCUAGGUUCGUCUCGAUGUCUUGACCUCAUGAUCCACCCACCUCGGCCUCCCAAAGUGCUAGGUUUACAGGCGUCAGCCACCGCGCCCAGCCAAAUCUCAUUCUUAACUAAUUUAGAUAAGACUUUGAACUCUGGAGUUGGUGCUGGAAUGAGUUAAAACUUCAGGGCUGUUGGGAUAGAAUAAAUGUAUUUUGCAUGUGAGAAAGACAUGAAUUUUGGGGGCUAGGGUUAGAAUGCUACCAUUUGAAUGUGUCCCCCUAAUUUCAUGUGUUGGAAUCUUAAUCAUCAAAUUCAUAUGUUGAUGGCAUUUGGAGGUGGGGCUUUUGGGAAGUAAUUAGGAUUAGAUAAGGUCAACAGGAUGGGGCCCUUAUGAGAGGACUGGUGGCUUUAUAAGAAAGUCUCCAGUCUUACUGCAUCAGCAAAGAAUUUGCCUUUGAAGACCAGGAAAACAACAACAUGGAAAUGCAGCCCAGUGCCUGCACCAGACUGGAUCCUUGAUUGUUUUUCGCUAGUUCUUUACUACAUGCCUGCAAUUCUAGAGCUCAAACUUCUAGACCUCAAGUUAUGCAAGUUAAUGAGAGCUAGGCUGAGAGAAUCAGAGGAUAUAGGGGAGAAAUGGAAGGAUGAGAAAAGGAAAUAUUGACAUUGUUAACCCCAAUGCAAAGUCUGGUUUUACAUUUGCUUGGCAGUUGUUUCAUUUUAAGAACACAUUUAGAAAGCUGACUUCAUAAAACUAUUUGUUACCCAUCCUGGUGUCUUGAAUGUAUAAUUUCUUCCCUGCAAUAAAAAAGAUUGGUUGUUGGUGUUACUUGAAAUAA